rnacentral:lncRNA from 1 species
GGAACAGGGGUUGGAACCUGGCGAUCCUUGAGUUCCCUUCCAAUCCAAGUCAUUCUAUGAUUCUAUUGCUGGUUUCACCAUGACACCAUCAGCGAAGCACAUUUAUAGCUCUGCCAUUAGGCUGAGGUACACACAGUGAACUACAGUGACCCAGCCACCCUAGGAAGCUGCCUCCUUUCCUGUGCCUGCAGCAAGCCCUGCUGUGAGAGCAUUCUGCCUGUAUCCUUGCCCAUGAUAGCAUUGCACCAAACAGACUGGAAUAGAUAAACCUCUGCUGCUGACACCAACAGAGCAAAGAAGGAGAAAGAAAGAAAGAAACCAGCAUAUCAGCCAGACUGAAGACGGACAUGACCUCACCUGUUUGUCAAAUACAAUCAAAGUCAAUGCAAAAGUGUCACUAAAUCCCUUUUAAUGAACUCUCCUCAAAGGACUUUUAUGUGUAGAGAUCCAUUAUUAAAUACUUUGCAAUGUAACUCACUACACACCAAAUGAUCAGUAAGGCAUGUGACUAGGAGCCAAUUAUAAGACAAUUUUAGAUUUUACCAAAUCCACUAAAACAGCCAAGGCCUGCAAAGACCUGUAGCCAGGCUAAAGACUGCUUCAUCUCCUAUUUCUAGUAAAUAACAUCUAUUAAGCACUAGCAAAAUGAAGUCUUAAACUGGCCAAGAUUUUUGAUUCUUAGAAAAAGGUG